ACAUCGGUAGCUCAAUUGGAUAGAGCGCCUGAUUACGAAUCAGAAGGUUAAAGGUUCAAGUCCUUUCCGAUGUGCCA
rnacentral:tRNA from 1 species